GCACCCGUAGUUUAACGGUAGAAUACGGCGUUGCCAUCGCUGUGACCCGAGUUCGACUCUCGGCGGGUGCA
rnacentral:tRNA from 2 species